AUUUUGUAGUUUUUACUUCCUGUUUUGGAGUUAAAUAAUUUGACAGUCGGUUAUGAAGUGAUUUUUUAGGAUUUUGACUCUUUGCAUCAAAACAACUUUUUGAGGUAUCUCCGGGACAGAAUGAUGUUUUGGAUAUUUUGUUUGCUCUGCUUUGCUCGAUCAUGUAUAGGAGUCUUUAUAGACGGGGUGGACUGCAGUCUGAACUGUGUGUGCUGUAAGGGGGGAGUGGAUGAAUGUGGGUUUAAGUCAGGAUUAGGAAUCAAUAUUUGUUUAAAUGGCUGUGUUGAUGGACUAUAUGGCUACAAAUGUAAUAAUCCCUGUCCCGGUAACUGUUCGUCGUGUGAACCAAGCGAUGGUAGACCAUGUUACAGCUGCAAGGCUACAUUUUAUGAUAGAAACAGUGAGUGUAGCAAGAGCUGUUCAGUCGGGUGUGAUGGAGGAGUCUGCAAUAAUGAUGGAGCAUGUAGUCCAUGUAGAGACAACUUCGAAGGAACAAAAUGCGAAACGUGCAUACAAGGAAAAUUUGGUUCAAGUUGUUCACAAUAUUGCAUUUAUCAGAACUGCCGAUGUUCGACUGGAACUGAUUGUACUUCUUGUAAAAUGGGGUUCUACGACAGAAAUACCUUCUGUCAAACAGCUUGUUCCCCGGGAUGUCAGAAUGCCGUUUGUAAUGAUAACGGAAGUUGCAAUUGUCGAGCUGAGUUUAUGGGAAAUAAAUGCAGUGAAUGUCAGUCAGGAUAUUAUGGGGCAUACUGCAACGUGUCCUGUUCCACAGGAUGUGUGAAUGGACUGUGCUUAAAAGAUGGUACUUGCUUAUGUCAUCCGAACUUCGUUACAGAGAAAUGUGAUACGUGUGCUGAUGGAAGAUACGGUGUUAACUGUGACGAGAUUUGCAGCGUGGGAUGUACCAAAAGGUCCUGUGACAGAAGCAAUGGCUUUUGUGAAUGUCGUCCUAACUUUUCUGGCGAUAAAUGCGACCAAUGUAUAUCAGGCUUUUACGAACAAUUAUGUAACUUACCUUGCUCGGAUAAUUGCAACGAACGCACAUGCUCACGAUACCAGGGGAACUGCACACAUGGUUGUGUUGAUGGCUAUUCGGGCCAACAUUGCACAACCCCUUGUAAUAAAACAUGCGUAACAUGUCUACAACAUGAUAAUUCACACUGCGUGUCAUGCUAUAAUGGAUUCAGUGGAUCAACCUGUCGAUGCCCAUCCAAUUGCAAUUGUGACUCUGCCUCUGAUGUAUGUACUACAAGUGCAGAUGGGUAUGCCAAUCCUAAAAAGCAAUGCAAGUGUCAGACUCAAUAUUGUACCGAAACCGUGUGCGAUAAAUGUAUUAACCAAACAUUUUAUGUUGAUAACAAUGCGUGCUGUGAAUGUCCGAAGAAUUGUAAAGAUGUUACGUGCAUAGAUGGACCUGAAUGUAUUUCUGGUUGCAUUGACGGCUUUACGGUUUGGAUUGUUCUCAACGAUGUUUGUCACUGAGUGGGGAUUGUUUAAGAUGUUAUCAGACUGAUGGAAAGUGUCUGGAAUGUAACGACGGUGUAUAUCCCCAUGGGAACGGAAUCUGCAUAAGUUGCAGUAGGAGUUGUAUGAAUGAGCAGUGCGAUCCUAAGACCGGCACAUGUAUAAAUGGUUGCACAGAAAGAUUUUGGGGGGACAAGUGUGAUAUUCAGUGUGGUGCAAACUGUGAAACUUGUCAGCGAGAUUCGGGAGUCUGCUUGUCUUGUACAGACACGACUUACCAUGGUCUUUCUUGCAACGAAUCAUGUAGCACCUCGUGUUUUGAAAGCAAAUGCGAAAAAGAGACUGGUUAUUGUUCCAAUGGGUGCUCCAGAGAUUCUUUUGGAAAUAUGUGUGAUAUCAAUUGCCCUAAAAAUUGUCAGCAAGGAGACACAGAAACGAGUUGUAGUAUCGAUGGCGAUUGUUUGUAUGGCUGCAUCAAUGACCUUGAAGGCAAAGAUUGUUCAGAAAGACGAAUUUACAUUUUUUCUCCAACAAAUGUUGCAACCGCAGCUUUUGGCCAUCAUUUUUUUAUUAUCUGAUUUACAAGAUUUUUUUCAAAAAUGUUGAGUCGAGGGGGCGAAAUAAAAAUAAAAAUAAAAGCUGAAAAAGUGAGCAGUCGUACAAAAAAAUAAAAAUAAAAGUACCGAGAGGGAGCAUAAAUUUUAUUUUCAUUUAUAUCAUUUUAAGCCCAAAAUGCCUGUUUAUAGAGCUAUAUAUCAUGUAUUAUGCAUGUUUUGUGUCCAUAAUAACCACAGAAAUGUAUAAUAAAACACUAUUUUACUUCACAACACAAAUUUGCUCAAUAUAUGCUUUAUUUUCAAGUCUUAUAGAUUGAAUCCAGAUUAAGAUUUGGAAUGGAUUAACAAUUGAAUUGUACAAAAUAAAUUGAAUAAAGAAACAUGUUUAGGCUUAUUGUAACAUGAACUUGUAAAACAAGAAUGAAAUUUCAGAGGAACAACUCGCUAACAUCAAGUUAAACAGCAGUCAAACAAAUAUUGCAAACUAUUUGAUUUUACGUAGGUUGUAAUGCACUUUUACCAAUGGUGAAUGGUAAACUUUCUCUUAUUCAAAACAACUCAAAAUUAAUGUUCUAUGUAGCAGUUCAAGGUGACAUCAAACAUCAGCUAUUUCAGACAAAGUAAAACCUCCCUUAAAGACCACUUCAAUAAUAAGACCACCUCAAAGUUAAGAACACAAUGUUCAAGUCCAUUUUCCAAAUUUUGCUCUUUCAUUUAAGGUCGUUAUUUAGGCCACCUCAAUAAUAAGACCAGUUGUAAAGGGUUCCCAGGGUGGUCGCAAAGUGAGGUUAUACUGUAUAUUGUAAGUAUUGUAACAGUAUAUCUUCAGACUUUGUGAAAUAACUGAACAUAAUGACAUCAAGUUCUCACAAAGUGGUCUACAAUAUCAACCAACAGAUUGGUCAUAAAUGUUGACCACACAUUCAAUACAUACACAGUAAAGUAUUUUACUUCACUUCAGAUAUGUUAGUGUACAAAGAAUGAAACAGAAAACUGUACACUGAGAAAGUUUGACAGCAUUUAGAUAAAAAGCUGCUGAAUAAUAGACA